rnacentral:misc_RNA from 1 species
AAUCCGAGAAUUUCACCUCCAACACCGUAAUACGAAUGCCCCCGUCCGUCCCUCUUAAUCAUUACCUCCAAUUCCGAAAACCAACAAAAUAGAACCGAGGUCCUAUUCCAUUAUUCCAUGCACCAUUAUUCAGGCAGACCGCCUGCUUUGAACACUCUAAUUUUUUCAAAGUAAACGUUCCAGCUUCCCGAGACACUCAAUCAAGAGCACCAAGGGCCAACCGGGUGGUAGGUCAGGACGAGCAGUAACCACCAAGGAGCGGACCGCAAGCCUGGACCUGAGAUCCAACUACGAGCUUUUUAACUGCAACAACUUUAAUAUACGCUAUUGGAGCUGGAAUUACC